UACAGAGGUCUCAAGCGUUGUUCGGAUUCAUUGGGCGUAAAGGGUGCGUAGGCGGCGCGGUAAGUCGGGUGUGAAAUCUUGGAGCUUAACUCCGAAACUGCAUUCGAUACUGCCGUGCUUGAGGACUGGAGAGGAGACUGGAAUUUACGGUGUAGCGGUGAAAUGCGUAGAGAUCGUAAGGAAGACCAGUGGCGAAGGCGGGUCUCUGGACAGUUCCUGACACUGAGGCACGAAGGCCAGGGGAGCAAACGGG
rnacentral:rRNA from 1 species